GGGGAGGGGGGGGCCCGGGGGGGGGUGGUGGCCCCCGAUAUCAGAUCCGGGAGAUCUGCGACGCCCCGGCUCACAGACCCCGCUGCGGCGCCACAACCCAAACCUGGGGGACGGGGGGAGACAUUUUGGGUGCACCGGCAAAACUCGUCCCCGGGGCCGGGGUCGUCCUGGCAACGAGAAGGGCUGUGUGUGCCAGUGUAAACAACCCGAUCGGGCACCAGGUACACGGUCUGGGUUCCGCAGGAGCCCCUCCGCCACCCCAAGUCCGAGGGGACAAAGACCCAGGUCCUUUCUCAGCUGCGGACUUGAAAUGACCGCACGCGAGGACGGCGGGCCAUAGGAAGGAUUUCGCGGAAAGGUGCCGGGCAGCUGCGAGCUGGGGGCCGAGCGAUGCCGGGCCCUGCACCCCUGGGGAGUGGGGGAGAGGGGAGAGAGAGCGAGCCCAGCGCCGGCCUGGAAGGGGGUCUCGCCUCGCGGUGCCUCCGCAGGCGUCGGAUCCUCCCGCUGGAAGGCCGCGCGGCCCGGUCUGGUCCGCCCGCGGGGCAGGCGCCGGACGCAACUUGGAGAGCACCAGAUGCACACCCGGCUGCCGCUUCUCCGGGAGCUGCACAUUCAUGAAUCUCGAAAGUUCCUGGCUGAGGGGAGAAAAAUCGCAAGGAUCAGUAUGUGGAGUUGGCGUAAUGAACCCAGUUAAGAGUACAUGCCCACUAGAGGCUAAAGGAUGGCACAAACUGCUGUUUAUUCCUUGGUCGUGCUUUGUUACAUUUUUCUGUCACUAACUUCCCCCCUGCCAUCCACCAUCCACCCCCAACACACACACACACACACACACACACACACACACACACACACUCACUCUCCCCCCCCCACCCCCGCCCCCACUAUUCUGUAGGGGUAGCUUGAGGCUUCCUUUGAGGGCAGUUUUUCCGUCGGCACGAUUUAAUUUUAAUUUUUUUCAAUUUUAUUAUUUUUUCUUUUCUUUUUUUUAAAUGUUUAUUUAUAUUUGAGACAGCGCCACGCGCAAGCGUGGAAGGGGUGAACAGGGAGGGAGACAGAAUCCAAAGCAUUUCAGGCAAAGUCAGAGGUGGGGCUGGAAUCCCAGAACGCUGAGAGAUCUCUCGACCUGACGAAGUGGGACGCUCAACCACUGAGCCACCCAGGCGCCGGAUUUACGGUUUUCCCGCAGCGGACAGUUUCCCGGCUCCAGAUGUUCCACUCCACCUGAACGUCCCCCUUGGUCCCCACCCGCAGAGACCUCAGCUCCCGCCUAAACCAAGGGAGGCGCGGGACCGGCAGCCUCGAGGGCCCGGUAGGUUUUACUUCAGCCACGAGGGGAGAGACACGUGACAAGCCUCCGCGCCGCCCCCCCCCGCACCCCCCCCCCCCACUCGCCGUCCCGUUCCUGCCGUCGCUCCCCCGCCAGUCUCCGCCGCGGUCCCCCCAACGCCCUAGUCCGCGUCCCUUCCCCUCCCCGCCCCCCCCCCCCCCCCCCCCGCGCGCCGUCCCUGCCAACCCCAGCCACUCCCCCCGAACCCGGGCACCCGCGCCCCGCGCAGCGGCCCACUUACCGCGUGGUGGGGCUGGGAUAGUGGGUGCUCUGGAACAAGCUCUCCAGCUGGCGCAUCUGCUGGGGGCUGAACUUGAUGAGGCGACCCACGGUCCACCUCCCUCCCCGAGCGGGACCCGGAGCCGCGGCCGGGGGCAACUGCCCCUCCGGCCUUGGCUCCUCCGGCUUCGGCUCCUCCGGCUUCUCAUCGCGGGUUUCGCGACCCGCGGGCCACGGAUAUCCAGCGCCCACAUCGCCGGCCCCCUCCUCGCCGUCACCGUCACCAUGGUUGUCGUCCCCAUGGCUGUCUCCUUCCUUCUUGAUUUGUAUGCCUGCCGCCCGCUGCUGAGGUGCUAACUCUGACCCUGCUUCCUCAGCCGCUUGGUCUCUGGGACCCUUCAUUUCUGGGACGUGGCGAAGACGCUGGUCCCGACGGGCACAGACCACGCAGCUCUUCCCGGUCCUCGUCGACUCCCAGGCUGGGGAAGCCCGUGACUUCGCGCUUGAAUUGGUUGAAAGGAUCCAUAGUAUCCCUCUGCCGUCCUGUGUGGAUCUGCGUCUGGAUCUGCUGGAUCGCUGGGUCACACGUGAAGCGGUGGCUACGCUGCCGUGCCGUCGAGUUCAGCUACCCAGCGUCCCGCUAGGCGCUUUAUAUAUACCACCCUUCAGUGGGGGUUGGGCUCGCCGAGGUGCGCAUGCGGCUGGGCUUGGGCACCAAGUGGGCGGGUGCUCCUGCCAAGAGGGCUGGGGUGGGGAGCACUUGCUCUAAGGCAUCGGAGGGGACUAUGGGUAACCAGAGCUGGCGGCUUCGGUUGUAGCUUAGCUCGUGUCCCCCAAACUGGCGGCAUGUCUCCCCCACUCCCGAGCAAGAGGCUGUGCUGCAUUGUGUUUGCCUAUUUCCACAGGGUGAGAGACAGACCUCACCCUAGGUGGAGACCUGACAGAAAAGUUGGGACAAUCUCUCUUGGGCCAGCCCCACCCCCCAACCUCUGGACCUAGCAGCCGGUACAAAGCAGGGAAUAGUCAUCAAACGAAUGUGAUCAGCUCUGAGGUGGCACACUCUGAGUUUUUUCAGCGAGAUGCUGAAAUUAGAGCCCGCCAAACUCCCGGGUACCCGGGAACAGGAGCUGGGGCUUGGGGUUGGUGAUCGUGCCUGGUGCUCAGAUGCACUAUGCAAAUAAAACCACACGUGCCCCUUGGGAAAGUCCGGUGCCUCCAGAAUUUUAGUGAUGAAGCUACAUCUCGGUGCAGGGCUACAAACCUGCACAGUGCAUUCAAGGCUGCUUAAAGUGCACAAAGCUCCUGCUUUUUUUUUUCUUUUUCAAAUAUUUGUUUCUUUGUCUCAUUGUAACUGCGUAUCCUGAAACAUUCCUACACAGCAGCUAUGCCUCUGGGUAUAGAUUUCUCUAUACAAGCAUGCAUGUCCCUCAAGGGUUGGGACCUUUGGGACGCGGGUAAUUUCCCGCCGCCAUUUCUCCCUUCCUUCAGCCUCUCGGUUUUUCUAGAAAGAUCUUCCUGAGCCCUCGCUGAGGGAAUAAAUGAAGUUUACUUCUUUUGUUUUUAAGUUUAUUUAUUUUGGGAGAGAGCACAAGCGGGGCGGGAGGGACAGAGGAUCUCAAGGGGGCUCUGUGCUGAAGGCAGAGAGCCCGAUGGGGGGCUGGACCUCAGGAACCCAAAGAUCAUGAAGUGAGCCAAAGCCAGAUGCUUAACCGACUGAGCCACGCAGGCACCCCUAAAUAAAUUUCGUUUCUUGUUGGUUGUUUCCUUUUUCUUUUUCUUUUUCUUCUCCUUAUUUAUUUAUUUAUUUAUUUAUUUUUCUUACGGCAGGGAUACAUUUUUAUUGGUCGGAGAGUUGAAUUUAUGUAGGGUUUUGGUUUCUCCAGGUGAGUACAGAAAAGAGACAAGGGACAAGAGAUUUGGGGUAUAGCAAGGAAUCCGUGAUAAAGAGUGACUCUACAUAGUUUUAUAUGGUUUGUCAAAACUCAACAAAUGGAAGUUUGAGAUUUGUGCACUCUUUUGUAUGUCACUUUUCCAUCAACAGAGGAAACCUGUGAGCAAAUACUGAACUCCACUUAAUGGUAUGCAUGCUUAUUUCUUGUCAAAUAAAAGGGAGCAGACCAGAUUGAGGGCUCCGUGGUUUUCCCCGCCAGAACUGUUUUAUCGAUGCUCCAAGACUCGUUAAUAUCCUAAAUAUUGAAAACAGCUUCCCACGGUGGGCCUUACGCUCGACAACGUGCUCGAUUUAUAUCCCUCGUUCGCCCCACGGCCAUUCUCCUCACCCCCAUUUGAAUUCAGACACUCCAUCAUUUCUGUGGGUUCCUAAAUGCAUCGCGGGCCCUAGUCACCUCACCCGCUGAGUCUCAGGGAUAAGUGCCCCUGCCUCAUGCCCCUGGAGGAUGGGUAAGAAACUAACUAAAAGAGGUUUGCGGACCAAUUCGUUUUCAAAGAGGUGGUAAGGGAUGCAAGGUGACUGCGUCCUCCUGACGACUCUAACCACAUGUUUCCUCCUCAGGGAGGCCCUUGUUGAAUGCCGCAGGCACCUCCCCCGCCUCGGCCGGACACCCUGUGCCCAGUUGCGACUUGACAUUAGUUAUUGCGUGAGCGGCCUACGAGGGCUUUCAUUCUGUUUGUGCUGGACUGGCUGCGAUUAUCCGUGACCGCUGAGGGGGCGCGUUCUUUCGCGUCUCCCGUUCCCACGGAGCCUUCCCGUUGGCUCCGUCUCAGUCCCUCCCGUGUCCCGAGACAACUAUGGCCCUACCUUGGCAUCAGUUGUGGUAGUAUUUUCUUCAGUGACUUCACACUUUGCAAACCUUAACAACCGAAUGGAGCCUCGUCCUAAGCAAAAAUAGCCACGACUGAGGUUCGAUGUGCCGGGUUUAUGGCCGUGGGCGCUCUGGAGCCAGCCUGCCGGGGUCUGCGUCGCGGCUUGCUCGCCCUGGCUAGCUGGCUAACCUGUUGAGUUGCUGAGUCUCAGUUUCCUCAGGUGUCCUCAUCCGUAUAGCGAGGACAGCAACAGCCACCACCUCACCAGGGUGCUGCGGGAGUAAUUGGGGUGACAAAAAGAAAAUAUUUCCGGUGGCCACACCACACCGUCUCACAUUUCUGAUUUCAGCCAAUUUUGUGUUUCGUUAGUCGCAAGGGUCCGCGAGAGAAGACAGGUGCUGGUUGUUCUCUGGCAGUUGACAACGAGGACAGCAAGUUUUCUUGUGACCGUCAGGUCUCCAGGGCUACACGCCA